AUUGAACGCUGGCGGCAGGCCUAACACAUGCAAGUCGAGCGAGUGGCGGACGGGUGAGUAAUGUCUGGGAAACUGCCCGAUGGAGGGGGAUAACUACUGGAAACGGUAGCUAAUACCGCAUACCAUCCGAUGUUCCCAGAUGGGAUUAGCUCGUAGUUGGGGUAACGGCUCACCAAGGCGACGAUCCCUAGCUGGUCUGAUAGGAUGAUCAGCCACAAUGGAAAUGAGACUCGGCACAGACUCCUACGGGAGGCAGCAGUGGGGAAUAUUGCACAAUGGGCGCAAUCCUGAUGCAGCCAUGCCGCGUGUAUGAAGAAGGCCUUCGGGUUGUAAAGUACUUUCAGCGGGGAGGCGUUACCCGCAGAAGAAGCACCGGCUAACUCCGUGCCAGCAGCCGCGGUAAUUC
rnacentral:rRNA from 1 species